GGGGGGACGAGGGUGGACAGGUGGUGGCAUGGUUGUCGUCAGCUCGUGUCGUGAGAUGUUGGUUAAGUCCCGCAACGAGCGCAACCCUCGACCUUAGUUGCCAGCAUUCAGUUGGGCACUCUAAGGUGACUGCCGGCUAAAAGUCGGAGGAAGGUGGGGAUGACGUCAAAUCAUCAUGCCCCUUAUGACCUGGGCUACACACGUGCUACAAUGGGCGGUACAAAGGGUCGCGAACCCGCGAGGGGGAGCCAAUCCCAAAAAGCCGCUCUCAGUUCGGAUUGCAGGCUGCAACUCGCCUGCAUGAAGCCGGAAUCGCUAGUAAUCGCGGAUCAGCAUGCCGCGGUGAAUACGUUCCCGGGCCUU
rnacentral:rRNA from 1 species